CCUACGGGAGGCAGCAGUGGGGAAUAUUGGACAAUGGGGGCAACCCUGAUCCAGCCAUACCGCGUGUGUGAAGAAGGCCCUCGGGUUGUAAAGCACUUUCAGUGAGGAAGAACGCCUGGUGGUUAAUACCCAUCAGGAAAGACAUCACUCACAGAAGAAGCACCGGCUAACUCCGUGCCAGCAGCCGCGGUAAUACGGAGGGUGCGAGCGUUAAUCGGAAUUACUGGGCGUAAAGCGCGCGUAGGUGGCUUGAUAAGCCGGUUGUGAAAGCCCCGGGCUCAACCUGGGAACGGCAUCCGGAACUGUCAAGCUAGAGUGCAGGAGAGGAAGGUAGAAUUCCCGGUGUAGCGGUGAAAUGCGUAGAGAUCGGGAGGAAUACCAGUGGCGAAGGCGGCCUUCUGGACUGAAACUGACACUGAGGUGCGAAAGCGUGGGUAGCAAACAGGAUUAGAUACCCUUGUAGUC
rnacentral:rRNA from 1 species